rnacentral:tRNA from 1 species
GAAACGGUAGCUCAACGGAAGAGCUCUGACCUUCCAAGUCAGAAGUUGCAGGUUCGAGCCCUGCCCGUUUCA